AUUGAACGCUGGCGGCGGGCCUAACACAUGCAAGUCGAGCGGAUGAAGGGAGCUUGCUCCUGGAUUCAGCGGCGGACGGGUGAGUAAUGCCUAGGAAUCUGCCUGGUAGUGGGGGAUAACGUCCGGAAACGGGCGCUAAUACCGCAUACGUCCUGAGGGAGAAAGUGGGGGAUCUUCGGACCUCACGCUAUCAGAUGAGCCUAGGUCGGAUUAGCUAGUUGGUGGGGUAAAGGCCUACCAAGGCGACGAUCCGUAACUGGUCUGAGAGGAUGGUCAGUCACAUUGGAAGUGGAACACGGACCAGGGGCCUGAGGGAGGCAGCAGAGGGGAAUAUGGGACAGUGGUCGGAAGUCUGAUACAGUCAUGCCGCGUGUGAGAAGAAGGUCUUCGGAUUGUAAAGCACUUUAAGGUGGUGGGAAGGGCAUUAAGUUAAUACCUUGCUGUUUUGACGGUACCAACAGAAUAAGCACCGGCUAACUACGUG
rnacentral:rRNA from 1 species